GGCUCAGGACGAACGCUGGCGGCAGGCCUAACACAUGCAAGUCGAACGGUAACAGGAAGCAGCUUGCUGUUUCGCUGACGGGUGGCGGACGGGUGAGUAAUGUCUGGGAAACUGCCUGAUGGAGGGGGAUAACUACUGGAAACGGUAGCUAAUACCGCAUAACGUCGCAAGACCAAAGAGGGGGACCUUCGGGCCUCUUGCCAUCGGAUGUGCCCAGAUGGGAUUAGCUAGUAGGUGGGGUAACGGCUCACCUAGGCGACGAUCCCUAGCUGGUCUGAGAGGAUGACCAGCCACACUGGAACUGAGACACGGUCCAGACUCCUACGGGAGGCAGCAGUAGG
rnacentral:rRNA from 1 species